UUAUUAGUACUUGAGGAAUAGAUUAUCACCAUUGUGCAUUGAUCGGAAUCUGGGUGUAAUUUUCAAUGUAAAGAAUAAUAUGGAUAAGACUUAUAAUCCCGGGAAUCCCAGGAAAAUCAGAAAAUGUCUA